CUAAAGUGAAACUGUUUCAACCACCCACCCACUUCAUGAAAUUAAAAAACAAAACAAAAAAUUUUAAAUUUAGUAGAAGACUCCUAAGAUUCUAUAUUAGUGAUGAUGUAAAACUUAGUUGCAAGCACAUUACCAGUGACAAGACUGAGAAAUAAGAACAUGAACCUAGGCCUGGAGAGACGGCUCAGCAGUUAAGAACUGCUCUUCCAGACGUCCGGAGUUCAAUUCCAGAAACCACAUGGUGGCUCACAACCAUCUGUAGUGAAAUCUGAUGCCCUCUUUUGGUGUGUCUGAAGACAGCUACAGUGUCCUC
rnacentral:lncRNA from 1 species